CCUACGGGAGGCAGCAGUGAGGAAUAUUGGUCAAUGGCCGAAGGGCUGAACCAGCCAAGCCGCGUGAAGGAAUAAGGCCCUACGGGUCGUAAACUUCUUUAGUCAGGGAACAAAGGGAGCCACGCGUGGCGCUGUGAGUGUACCUGAAGAAUAAGCAUCGGCUAACUCCGUGCCAGCAGCCGCGGUAAUACGGAGGAUGCGAGCGUUAUCCGGAUUUAUUGGGUUUAAAGGGUGCGUAGGCGGACUGGAAAGUCAGCGGUAAAAUCGAGAGGCUCAACCUCUUUCCGCCGUUGAAACUGUCGGUC
rnacentral:rRNA from 1 species